rnacentral:misc_RNA from 1 species
AAGUGAGCGUGAAACACCUGCUCGAGGUGCCCGUGGACGCACUGGGUCUCGUGGACGAACCCCGUGGACCGCGAUGUCGCCAUGUUCAUAUCGUCUCGCUCUAUCUCUCUCUCUCUUACUGUGUAUGUAUGUGUGUGUGUGUGUUUGUGUAUCUGCGCACUAGGUCGAUACGCCAUCCCCCUGGAAUGAUCCAUUUCCCGAUCUCGACUCAUCGGACGGCAACCGCUGAAAGGCGAGGCAGGUAUUUGUCCCGUAGAAUCCGAACGAGUUGCUUAGUGCGAUUCGAAGCGGACUGCUCUCGGGCCAGUAAUAAUGCGCAUGAUGCCCAAUGAAGCGCAAGCCAGCGGUGGUGGUGUCCGUGGUGGCCGACAUCUCCAGGCCCACGUCAAUGUCGUGCAGGUUCAACGUUCCGGGUACGCACUGGUGAUGCACCGCCAGUAACGUGAAGGCAGCCUCGAGAGCGCCCGCUGCUCCGAGUAAAUGCCCAGUGGCGCCUUUUGUCGACGUCACGACUGGAGCCGGCUCCUCUGCGCCGAAAACUCGCCCAAUCGCUUUGGCUUCGACGGCGUCACCCAACGGCGUCGACGUUGCAUGCGCGUUCACGUACCCGACGGCUGACCGAGGAAUACCCCGGAGGGCCAUUUCCAUACAUCGCUGGGCGCCAAUGCCUUCCGGAUGAGGUGCUGUCACAUGGUACGCGUCGCUGCUCAGGCCGUAUCCAACGAGUUCGCCAUAGGUCGUGUGCGGCUGGGCUUGUCUUCGUGUACGAGCGUGUUCCAGAUCCUCCAGAACAAGUACACAGGCGCCUUCGCCGAGCACGAAACCCGAACGUCGACGAUCAAAUGGACGACUGGACUGCUCGGGCUCAUCUGCAAACUGGGUGGUAAGUGCCCGGGCCCUGGAAAACCCCAACAAUGCCAACUCGUGAAUACAUGCCUCUGUUCCGCCGGCGAUACACACUGUCGCAUCGCCUCGUUGAAUGAGUCGGUACGCGUCACCGAUAGCAUGUGCACCCGCAGCACAAGCAGUGCUCGGUGAUAGACUGGGACCCUUCAGACCAAACCAUAACGCCACGUAACCGGCGGCUGCGUUCAGCAGGAUGCGAGGCACGAAAUGCGGUGACAGGUGUCGACCCGACUGGUGACGGUUCACGCUCUCAACCAGAUCGCUCAGGGAUACCAUACCUGCACCGAUAACGACGCCCGAGUCGGUUGCGUUCAGCGUCGCUGGCGAAAGCGCAGCAUCUUGGAUCGCCUCAUGUGCUGCGAGAACGGCGUACUGGAUACUGAGCGGUGCUCGUAAAAUAUCCGCGGGGGUCAGUUUGCGCUCAUGCAGACCAGUUGCUAUCGCUGUGCUCGUUGUUUUCGAUGCGAAUACCUGCGACUCAAGUCGUUCGAGUACGCCGGCACGAUCGACUUGGGCUGCGAUUUGCACCGGCAGCCCGGUGGGGUCAAAAACACUGAUCCGUUGGACGCCACUUUGGCCGCGGAAAAGUGCGUCCCAGCACAUGCGGGUACACAGGCCCAAUGGCGACACCAUGCCGAUACCGGUCACGACAACCCGGCGUCCAGCGUGGACAAGUUCGUGCGACAUCCCGCUAGCCCCGAUGACGGACAGAGGAAACGGUGACUGCGAGUCGUGUCCGUCAAGCCGAAAGGUCAGCGCAGGGCUCUGGUGAUCAGGUGACGUAGGUGUGUGUGUGUGUUCUUCAGGUCGCUGACCGGUGGAUUCCGGGUCUGGGUAACGCACCCCAAGUCGUUUGCGAUUUGUUCGUUGUUAUAUGAGAGACAACUCCCUUGGAUUCAGUGAUUGCGAGCGUCUUUCACACCCUGUGACGUCUAGUACGCAGCAAAGCUAAACAGGGACCUACUUAUGUCCAAAGUGACCCAUUAGAGAGAAUUCCAGGUCGCCGAACAAUCCCGUCGUUAGAGACUGGCACUAAAGAAUAAC